rnacentral:rRNA from 1 species
AGACCCGAAACCCGGUGAUCUAGCCAUGGGCAGGUUGAAGGUUGGGUAACACUAACUGGAGGACCGAACCGACUAAUGUUGAAAAAUUAGCGGAUGACCUGUGGCUGGGGGUGAAAGGCCAAUCAAACCGGGAGAUAGCUGGUUCUCCCCGAAAGCUAUUUAGGUAGCGCCUCGUGAAUUCAUCUCCGGGGGUAGAGCACUGUUUCGGCUAGGGGGCCAUCCCGGCUUACCAACCCGAUGCAAACUGCGAAUACCGGAGAAUGUUAUCACGGGAGACACACGGCGGGUGCUAACGUCCGUCGUGAAGAGGGAAACAACCCAGACCGCCAGCUAAGGUCCCAAAGUCAUGGUUAAGUGGGAAACGAUGUGGGAAGGCCCAGACAGCCAGGAUGUUGGCUUAGAAGCAGCCAUCAUUUAAAGAAAGCGUAAUAGCUCACUGGUCGAGUCGGCCUGCGCGGAAGAUGUAACGGGGCUAAACCAUGCACCGAAGCUGCGGCAGCGACACUGUGUGUUGUUGGGUAGGGGAGCGUUCUGUAAGCCUGUGAAGGUGUGUCGUGAGGCAUGCUGGAGGUAUCAGAAGUGCGAAUGCUGACAUAAGUAACGAUAAAGCGGGUGAAAAGCCCGCUCGCCGGAAGACCAAGGGUUCCUGUCCAACGUUAAUCGGGGCAGGGUGAGUCGACCCCUAAGGCGAGGCCGAAAGGCGUAGUCGAUGGGAAACGGGUUAAUAUUCCCGUACUUGGUGUUACUGCGAAGGGGGGACGGAGAAGGCUAUGUUGGCCGGGCGACGGUUGUCCCGGUUUAAGCGUGUAGGUGUGUGUUCCAGGUAAAUCCGGUUCACUUUAACACUGAGGCGUGACGACGAGGCACUACGGUGCUGAAGCAACAAAUGCCCUGCUUCCAGGAAAAGCCUCUAAGCAUCAGGUAACAUCAAAUCGUACCCCAAACCGACACAGGUGGUCAGGUAGAGAAUACCAAGGCGCUUGAGAGAACUCGGGUGAAGGAACUAGGCAAAAUGGUGCCGUAACUUCGGGAGAAGGCACGCUGACACGUAGGUGAAGUGAUUUACUCAUGGAGCUGAAGUCAGUCGAAGAUACCAGCUGGCUGCAACUGUUUAUUAAAAACACAGCACUGUGCAAACACGAAAGUGGACGUAUACGGUGUGACGCCUGCCCGGUGCCGGAAGGUUAAUUGAUGGGGUCAGCGCAAGCGAAGCUCCUGAUCGAAGCCCCGGUAAACGGCGGCCGUAACUAUAACGGUCCUAAGGUAGCGAAAUUCCUUGUCGGGUAAGUUCCGACCUGCACGAAUGGCGUAAUGAUGGCCAGGCUGUCUCCACCCGAGACUCAGUGAAAUUGAACUCGCUGUGAAGAUGCAGUGUACCCGCGGCAAGACGGAAAGACCCCGUGAACCUUUACUAUAGCUUGACACUGAACAUUGAGCCUUGAUGUGUAGGAUAGGUGGGAGGCUUUGAAGUGUGGACGCCAGUCUGCAUGGAGCCGACCUUGAAAUACCACCCUUUAAUGUUUGAUGUUCUAACGUGGACCCGUUACCCGGGUUGCGGACAGUGUCUGGUGGGUAGUUUGACUGGGGCGGUCUCCUCCUAAAGAGUAACGGAGGAGCACGAAGGUUGGCUAAUCCUGGUCGGACAUC